rnacentral:rRNA from 1 species
UACGAAGGGGGGCUAGCGUUGCUCGGAAUUACUGGGCGUAAAGGGCGCGUAGGCGGACAGUUUAGUCAGAGGUGAAAGCCCAGGGCUCAACCUUGGAAUUGCCUUUGAUACUGGCUGUCUUGAGUUCGGGAGAGGUGAGUGGAAUGCCGAGUGUAGAGGUGAAAUUCGUAGAUAUUGGGAAGAACACCGAUGGCGAAGGCAGCCAUCUGGACCGACACUGACGCUGAGGCGCGGAAAGCGUGGGGAGCAAACAGG